rnacentral:siRNA from 1 species
UGCCAGUAGUCAUAUGCUUGUC